UACGGAGGGUGCAAGCGUUAUCCGGAUUCACUGGGUUUAAAGGGUGCGUAGGCGGGCAAGUAAGUCAGUGGUGAAAUCUCCGGGCUUAACUCGGAAACUGCCGUUGAUACUAUUUGUCUUGAAUAUCAUGGAGGUAAGCGGAAUAUGUCAUGUAGCGGUGAAAUGCUUAGAUAUGGCAUAGAACACCGAUAGCGAAGGCAGCUUACUACAUGUUCAUUGACGCUGAGGCACGAAAGCGUGGGGAUCAAACAGG
rnacentral:rRNA from 1 species